rnacentral:rRNA from 1 species
UAAACAAGACUGUUCGCCAGAGUACUACCGGCAAUAGCUUAAAACUCAAAGGACUUGGCGGUGCUUUAUACCCUUCUAGAGGAGCCUGUUCUAUAAUCGAUAAACCCCGAUAAACCUCACCAUUCCUUGCUACUACAGUCUAUAUACCGCCAUCUUCAGCAAACCCUAAAAAGGUACAAAAGUAAGCACAAUCAUAAUACAUAAAAACGUUAGGUCAAGGUGUAACCUAUGGAACGGAAAGAAAUGGGCUACAUUUUCUAAUCUAAGAAAAUCCAACACGAAAGUUAUUAUGAAACUAAUAACCAAAGGAGGAUUUAGCACUAAACUAAGAAUAGAGUGCUUAGUUGAAUUAUGCCAUGAAGCACGCACACACCGCCCGUCACCCUC